UGGCGGACGGGUGAGUAACGCGUGGGCAACCUACCCCACACAGGGGGACAACAGUUGGAAACGACUGCUAAUACCGCAUAGGCGCACAGCUUCGCAUGAAGCAGUGUGGAAAACCGAGGUGGUGUGGGAUGGGCCCGCGUCUGAUUAGCUGGUUGGCGGGGUAACGGCCCACCAAGGCGACGAUCAGUAGCCGGCCUGAGAGGGUGGACGGCCACAUUGGGACUGAGACACGGCCCAAACUCCUACGGGAGGCAGCAG
rnacentral:rRNA from 1 species